CUACGGGUGGCUGCAGUGGGGAAUAUUGCACAACGGACGAAAGUCUGAUGCAGCAACGCCGCGUGGAGGAUGACACAUUUCGGUGCGUAAACUCCUUUUAUAUAAGAAGAUAAUGACGGUACUAUAUGAAUAAGCACCGGCUAUCUCCGUGCCAGCAGCCGCGGUAAUACGGAGGGUGCAAGCGUUACUCGGAAUCACUGGGCGUAAAGAGCGUGUAGGCGGGUUAAUAAGUUGGAAGUGAAAUCCUAUGGCUCAACCAUAGAACUGCUUCCAAAACUGUUAACCUAGAAUAUGGGAGAGGUAGAUGGAAUUUCUGGUGUAGGGGUAAAAUCCGUAGAGAUCAGAAGGAAUACCGAUUGCGAAGGCGAUCUACUGGAACAUUAUUGACGCUGAGACGCGAAAGCGUGGGGAGCAAACAGGAUUAGAUACCCCCGUAGUC
rnacentral:rRNA from 1 species